GCCAGUGUGUUGUAGUGGUUUGAGUGCUGGAUUGCAACUCUGGUGACCUGGGUUUGAUUCCCAGCUUGGCCA
rnacentral:tRNA from 1 species